CCAGAUCCGAUCAACUGGGUAGUGGUGGCUUCACACUGUGGUGCAACGAUCUCCUACGACUCCACGAUGGUCACUGAAAGGUCUUUGAAAGGUUCAUCUCUCUAGACCUGAUGGCAGCGAUGAGUUACAAACUACCAACGAAGACUUGACGCAGAUGGAUGGUCGUGCAACAGUGACGAUCACUCAUCGCAUGUAGUUGCUAGGAUCGCAUAGGUAUAUUUGAGCUUGGCAGUGGAAAUGCUAUUCGGCGCCUUCACAUCGUCUGCCGCCCCCACCACCGGUCUUAAAUAGACCUUUUUCCGCGACAUUAUAAAAGCAAUCGAUUUCAAAAGAAGCUGACUGAUGCAAUAAUUGUUUUUAUCACCAACAAAAGUUGGGUACAUUAUCUUCUUCAAGGAUGCAAAAUCGAAACUUGCGAGCUUCACACACAUACCACAAUCAGAUGUAGCGCCACACCUAGAGUAUGGUGUGACACGUAACUUCGCACCUGCUGCCAGUAGUGGAUCUAACCUAAUGGGUUAGGAUGGGCCAAUAGUAGAACUAUACAUUAAAAUUAUUUUUUGUAAUAUUUUUUAUUUUUUUCUAUGAUAUAAAGCUAUUGUAAAUCUCAGGGGGCGCCUCUACCUCCGCCACUGCCUGCUGCACCUUGAUACUCUCUUCCUAGAAGGUGGUACACCUUGAUACUUCAUGAGUUGUAAGGGCAUCUAUAAGGUGAAUUCUUGAACUAUCCACAACCAUUUGGAUUGAACUAUUUGGAUGCACUUUGCCAUCUAAUACCAUAUCAUAUUUCUUUAUAUACCGAUCCGGCUGUUCAUUUUCUCAUAAUUCAGUAGCAAAGUAGGAGGCUUUGCGGGAGUCUGGACUU
rnacentral:lncRNA from 1 species